AGCGAACGCUGGCGGCAGGCCUAACACAUGCAAGUCGAACGAACUCUUCGGAGUUAGUGGCGGACGGGUGAGUAACACGUGGGAACGUGCCUGUUGGUUCGGAAUAACUCAGGGAAACUUGUGCUAAUACCGAAUGUGCCCUUCGGGGGAAAGAUUUAUCGCCAUUAGAGCGGCCCGCGUCUGAUUAGCUAGUUGGUGAGGUAACGGCUCACCAAGGCGACGAUCAGUAGCUGGUCUGAGAGGAUGACCAGCCACACUGGGACUGAGACACGGCCCAGACUCCUACGGGAGGCAGCAGUAGGGAAUCUUGCGCAAUGGGCGAAAGCCUGACGCAGCCAUGCCGCGUGAAUGAUGAAGGUCUUAGGAUUGUAAAAUUCUUUCACCGGGGACGAUAAUGACGGUACCCGGAGAAGAAGCCCCGGCUAACUUCGUG
rnacentral:rRNA from 1 species